GGGAAAGUAAUAUUAUGGUAAUAUGGUUGGCUUGAAACCAGCAUUAGGGGGUUCAAUUCCUUCCUUUCUCG
rnacentral:tRNA from 1 species